rnacentral:rRNA from 1 species
AAUAAACGCUGGCGGCGUGCCUAACACAUGCAAGUCGAGCGAGAAAGUUCCUUCGGGAACAAGUAAAGCGGCAAACGGGUGAGUAACGCGUGGGAAUCUACCUUUCAGUGAGGAAUACCCUCGAGAAAUCGAGGUUAAUACUGCAUACGUCCCUUCGGGGAGAAAGGCGGCCUCUUGCUGUCGCUGAAAGAUGAGCCUGCGUACUAUUAGCUAGUUGGUAGGGUAAUGGCUUACCAAGGCAAUGAUGGUUAGCCGGCCUGAGAGGGUGUACGGCCACACUGGAACUUAGACACGGUCCAGACUCCUACGGGAGGCAGCAGUGAGGAAUCUUGCUCAAUGGGCGAAAGCCUGAAGCAGCGACGCCGCGUGAAGGAUGACGGUCUUCGGAUUGUAAACUUCUGUUAAGUGGGAAGAAAUCUCUAUUUCUAAUACAAAUAGAGGAUGACGGUACCAUUAGAGAAAGCACUGGCUAAUCUCGUGCCAGCAGCCGCGGUAAUACGAGGGGUGCAAGCGUUAUUCGGAAUUAUUGGGCGUAAAGGGUGUGUAGACGGCAGACUAAGUCAACUGUUAAAUUCCUCGGCCUAACUGAGGGUAUGCGGUAGAAACUGGUAUGCUAGAGGGUGAGAGAGAGAAGUGGAAUUCUCGGAGUAGCGGUAAAAUGCGUAGAUCUCGAGAGGAACACCGAUGGCGAAGGCAGCUUCUUGGCUCACUCCUGACGUUGAGGCACGAAAGCGUGGGGAGCAAACAGGAUUAGAUACCCUGGUAGUCCACGCUGUAAACGAUGAUCACUAGACGUUAGUACUGCUUUGCGGUAUUAGUGUCGUAGCUAACGCGAUAAGUGAUCCGCCUGGGGAUUACGGUCGCAAGACUAAAACUCAAAGGAAUUGACGGGGGUCCGCACAAGCGGUGGAACAUGUGGUUUAAUUCGACACUACGCGAGGAACCUUACCUAGGCUUGACAUGCUUUUGACCGCUAUAGAAACAUAGCUUUCCUGGCUUCGGUCAGGACAAUUGCACAGGUGCUGCAUGGCUGUCGUCAGCUCGUGUCGUGAGAUGUUUGGUUAAGUCCUCUAACGAGCGCAACUCUUGCCGCCAGUUGCUACUUCUAACGAAGGCACUCUGGUGGGACUGCCUGGGAAACCAGGAGGAAGGUGGGAAUGACGUCAAGUCCUCAUGGCCCUUAUGCCUAGGGCGACACACGUGUUACAAUGGCUAGUACAAAGGGAAGCAAUUCCGCAAGGAGGAGCAAAUCUCAGAAAACUAGUCUAAGUUCAGAUUGAGGUCUGCAACUCGACCUCAUGAAGUUGAAAUCGCUAGUAAUCGCGCAUCAGAACGGCGCGGUGAAUACGUUCUCGGGCCUUGUACACACCGCCCGUCACACCACGAAAGCUGUUUGUACCCAAAGCCAUCUUAGCUAACCCGUAAGGGAGGCGGAUGUCUAAGGUAUGA